CGAGAAUCUUCCACAAUGGACGAAAGUCUGAUGGAGCGACGCCGCGUGAGUGAUGAAGGCCCUACGGGUUGUAAAACUCUGUCAGGAGAGAAGAAUCGCCGGGGUGCCAAUACCACCCUGGUCUGACGUUAUCUCCAGAGGAAGCUCCGGCUAACUCCGUGCCAGCAGCCGCGGUAAUACGGGGGGAGCAAGCGUUGUCCGGAAUUAUUGGGCGUAAAGGGCGUGUAGGCGGCCUGGUCAGUCGAAUGUGAAAUCCCACGGCUCAACCGUGGAAUUGCGUUCGAUACUGCCUGGCUUGAGUAUGUGAGAGGUGUGCGGAAUUCCUGGUGUAGCGGUGGAAUGCGUAGAUAUCAGGAAGAACACCGAUGGCGAAGGCAGCACACUGGCGCAAUACUGACGCUGAGGCGCGAAAGCGUGGGGAGCAAAC
rnacentral:rRNA from 1 species